AGACACAACAGGAGCAGCCGGUCGAGUCUCAGCAGUUUAUUGUCACGGGGGGGGGGGGGGUGUUCUGUCGCGACAUGUCGCAGUGCAGGGGCUCUGUCACAACUCAGGGACACGCCAGGCUCUGGCCGUCUCAACGGAGCCCUCAAAGCAAUGCGGGGCCCUUGUCGUGACAGGAGGUCCCUGUCACGACACGGGCCCAACCCCAGUCCCUGUGUCAUGAGGCCCCAAAGCAACGUGGGGCCCCGGAGAAAAGGGGGGGGGGGGUUGCAGUGAGGGGUCCCUGCUGUGAUAUCGUCUCCAUCACGAUAUGGGGGUCCCCGCUGCCCAUAUCAUGAGUGCCUCAAAGCAACGUGGGGCCCCUAGAGAAAAAGGGACUAUUGCAAUAGGGGAUCCCUGUCACGACAAGGGGCUCCCAUCACAACAGAGGGUGACCAUCACCCACACUACGGGUGCCCCAAAGCAGCACAAGAGUCCUGGAGAAAUGGCGGGGACACGGGGGGACACAGACACCGUUGCAAUGAGGAGGUCACGGUCGUGACACGGGGCUCCUGUCGCGACAAGCAGCGGGUGCCGCGGGGGGUCGAACCCCGCCCCGGGCGCAGCUCCGGGGGUGCCGCCACCGGCGCCUUUUGCUUUUUUUUGGGGGGUCAUUUUGGGGCCUUUUUGGGGGGCGGAGGCGAAAAAGCAAAACCUGAGACAACGCGGGGGGUUCUCUCAGGAAAAGAAAAAACCUCCGGGGGGGGAGGGGCGGGGGCGGGGCGGCCCCUCCCCCACGGGGGGUGCGGGGACCCCAAAACACCCCGAAAACACCCCGAAAACGGACCAGCUGGGGGCAAAAAACCACAACAAAUCAGCGCCCCCCCAUGGGAACCGCCGCCAAAACCGCGGCGGGGGGGGGGGUGGGUUGGGGCUGUUUUAACCGGAAUAAACAGGAUUUUGGGGGGGGGGGAACGGGGUGAGAACUGGGGGGGUCGGGUCAGGAUCGCACUCCCCUGGUGCAAAACGGGGUCACAAAGUGGGGUUUGGGUCAGGAUCGUGUCCCCUUCGGUCCCAAAAUGGGGUGAGAAAUGGGGGGUUUGGGGGCAAGGUCACGCGCCCCCAUCGCAAAACAGGCGGGGGGGGAGGGUCUUGGUUUUAGCCAUUUUGGGGCCAAUCGAGGCAGUUUUGGCACAGUCACUGCGGGGGGGUGGAGAAGGGGGGGGGGGGACACCAGCACCGGGACCAGCACCGGGAAUAGCGGGAGCCUCUGAGCUCCUCCCUCCCCAAAACCUCUGCGGCUCCUCCUCAACUCCUGGCGUUUGGGGGGAAAAACUGGGAAAACGGUUAAAAAGAGCCUCCCCCCUCCCCCCCCCCGAGCGACACGCGGCAGGAUUUGGGGGGGAAAAGCCACAUUUUGGUUCAAUCUCCCUCCAAGUGGGCCCUUUGGGGGGGGGGGAGCGGAAUUUGGGGGGAAAGCAGCGAAGCCCAGCGCGUCCCACUGCGGA
ensembl:lncRNA